rnacentral:rRNA from 1 species
CCUCCGCCGGGCGAGUCCGCGAGAAGUCCACUGAACCUUAUCAUUUAGAGGAAGGAGACGUCGUAACAAGGUUUCCGUAGGUGACCCUGCGGAAGGAUCAUUGAAUUAUUAACACCCCAAUGACGAACCUAUCCUGUUCCGUGCCUUAGCUGCCAGCAAGGCAAUUGGCUUGCCCAAUUGUACUUGCAAGCUGGUGCGAGUAAUUUGAUUACUUGCAUCAGUGGCGCUUUGGCAUGCUUAUACACCAGUGCUAACCACUGUCAAAACCAAACUCUGAAGCUUUGAUUGCUAUUAACUGGCAAUCCUUAACCAAAGACAACUCUCAACAACGGAUAUCUUGGCUCUCGCAACGAUGAAGAACGCAGCGAAAUGCGAUACUUAGUGUGAAUUGCAGAAUUCCGUGAACCAUCGAAUCUUUGAACGCAUAUUGCGCUCGGAGCCCUCGGGCUAAGAGCAUGUCUGCCUCAGCGUCACACGGUUUUACCCUCACCCCUCUCUCCUUUGGAGGGCUGCUCAGCUUCUAGUUGGCCUCAGGGGUGGAUCUGGCUUCCAAUUGGUUCACUCCGAUCCUUGGUGGUUGGCUGAAGCUUAGAGGCUUAAGCAAGGACUCGAUAUGGGCUUCAACUGGAUAAGUGGCACCGGCUUCUGCCGACCUACUCGAAGUUGUGAAGCAUAUCAAUAAGCGGAGGAA